rnacentral:rRNA from 1 species
GACGAACGCUGGCGGCGUGCUUAACACAUGCAAGUCGAACGGUGAAGCGCCUUCCUUUUUGGUGGGUGUGGAUGAGUGGCGAACGGUUGAGUAACACGUGAGUAACCUGCCCCCUUCUUCUGGAUAACCGCAUUAAAGUGUGUCUAAUACGGGAUAUUCUGCGUCUGUCUCAUGAUGGGUCUGGUAAAGAUAUUGUUUCGGUGGGGGAGGGGCUCGCGGCCUGUAAGCUUGUUGGUGGGGUGAUGGCCUACGACGGCGGUGACGGGUCGAAGGCCUGGGAGGGUGGACGGUCAGACUGGGACUGAGACACGGCUGGGACUGAUACGCGGCGCAGCAGCGGGGGAUAGUGAGCAGUGGGGGCAAGCCUGAUGCGGGGAGGACGCGUGAGGGGUGAAGGCGUUCGGGUUGUGAAGCUCUUUCGCCAGUGAAGCAGGCCUGCCUCGUUUGUGGGUGGGUUGACGGUAGCUGGAUAAGAAGCGCCGGCUAACUACGUG